rnacentral:sRNA from 1 species
AAGACAGACCACGAGGUACCCCAGAUGGAGAAAUGUGCAAAGACGCCGGGGCUGGAGCUGGAAUCCGUCCUGAGACUUCUCACCUUGACCUCGAGGAAGGCAGGAGGUCGGAGACAGGGGAUGCGCAGGCCGGGGAAAGAGGAAACCCGCAGGACGAGAGGGUUGUGGCUCGUCACGUGGCCACUUGAGGGCAGCAAGUAGCUGCAGCUGGAGGCAGCUGCCUAUCUGAUCCUGUUUGAGAGUCCGCCAAGUUGGGAUUUAAAUUAGACAUUAAGAAGAAUUUACAGACCGGCCUUGCCUUGUUCCACGGUCACGAUGAGGGCCCAGGCUCUGGAUGGGCUGCCAAGGGGACCAUGCGGGGCUGGAACCGGAGAGCCCGAGAGAGCCCUGGGCAGGUGUCAGAGCCGGACAGGACCCAGCUGAGCCAGGACCUGGGUGGGGGCACCCUGGCCAUGGACACGCUGCCAGAUAACAGGACCAGGGUGAUGGAGGACAACCACAGCUAUUAUGUGUCCCGUCUCUAUGGCCCCAGCGAGCCCCGCAGCCGGGAACUGUGGGUGGAUGUGGCUGAGGCCAACCGGAGCCAAGUGAAGAUCCACACAAUACUCUCCAACACCCACCGGCAGGCUUCGAGAGUGGUCUUGUCCUUUGAUUUCCCUUUCUACGGGCAUCCUCUGCGGCAGAUCACCAUAGCAACUGGAGGCUUCAUCUUCAUGGGGGACGUGAUCCAUCGGAUGCUCACAGCUACUCAGUAUGUGGCACCCCUGAUGGCCAACUUCAACCCUGGCUACUCGGACAACUCCACAGUUGUUUACUUUGACAAUGGGACAGUCUUUGUGGUUCAGUGGGACCAUGUCUAUCUCCAAGGCUGGGAAGACAAGGGCAGUUUCACCUUCCAGGCAGCUCUGCACCGUGACGGCCGCAUUGUCUUCGGCUAUAAAGAGAUCCCUAUGUCUGUCCCGGAAAUCAGCUCCUCCCAGCAUCCUGUCAAAACCGGCCUAUCAGAUGCCUUCAUGAUUCUCAAUCCAUCCCCGGAUGUGCCAGAAUCUCGGCGAAGAAGCAUCUUUGAAUACCACCGCAUAGAGCUGGACCCCAGCAAGGUCACCAGCAUGUCGGCCGUGGAGUUCACCCCAUUGCCAAGCCCCUCAACAACCAGGAUGAAAACAUGUAUGUGAAUUGCCUGGAUUCUCAGCAGUGUCAUGGCAGCUCAGAGUCAAGGCGACCUUGAGGAUCACUGGAGCUCAUGCAGUCCUGCUAGCCCCUACACCUACUCACAUGGGCAGAUGUGGCCUUGGUCCUGGGGAGCUGGGUCGGAAGGAAGGCAGGGAUGCCACAAAUACCUUCAUCUUCCGGGGAAGUAGAGGGAACAGGAGUGCCUGACUACCUCAGCCUGGGGACCUUAGCUCCUCAUCUCACUAUCAGCAGAGAGCUAUUACUGAACAGUGAAAGGGGAAGGCUUCUUUGUCGAUCCCAUCAUAACUCUGACCUUUUGGUCCUCCUGCAGAUGCUCCAGUGGCUUUGACCGCUAUCGCCAGGAGUGGAUGGACUACGGCUGUGCACAGGAGGCAGAGGGCAGGACGUGCGAGGACUUCCAGGAUGAGGACCACGACUUGGCCUCCCCUGACACUUCCUUCAGCCCCUAUGAUGGAGACCUCACCACUACCUCCUCCUCCCUCUUCAUCGACAGCCUCACCACAGAAGAUGACACCAAGUUGAAUCCCUAUGCAGGAGGAGACGGCCUUCAGAACAACCUGUCCCCCAAGACAAAGGGCACUCCUGUGCACCUGGGCACCAUCGUGGGCAUCGUGCUGGCAGUCCUCCUCGUGGCGGCCAUCAUCCUGGCUGGAAUUUACAUCAAUGGCCACCCCACAUCCAAUGCUGCGCUCUUCUUCAUCGAGCGUAGACCUCACCACUGGCCAGCCAUGAAGUUUCGCAGCCACCCUGACCAUUCCACCUAUGCAGAGGUGGAGCCCUCGGGCCAUGAGAAGGAGGGCUUCAUGGAGGCUGAGCAGUGCUGAGAACACCAAGUCUCCCCUUUGAAGACUUUGAGGCCACAGAAAAGACAGUUAAAGCAAAGAAGAGAAGUGACUUUUCCUGGCCUCUCCCAGCAUGCCCUGGGCUGAGAUGAGAUGGUGGUUUAUGGCUCCAGAGCUACUGCUUGCUUCGUCAGCACACCCCGAAUAUUGAAGAGGUGGCCAAAAAACAACCACAUGGAUUUUUUUGUAGGAACAACAACCUAAUCUCAUCCUGUUUUGAUGCAAGGGUUCUCUUCUGUGUCUUGUAACCAUGAAACAGCAGAAGAACUAACAUAACUAAUUCCAUUUUUAUUUAAGGGGCCUUUACCUAUUCCUGCACCUAGGCUAGGAUAACUUUAGAGCACUGAGAUAAAACGCAAAAACAGCAAUCAUGCCGUUUGCAAAACUAACUCUGGGAUUAAAGGGGAAGCAUGUAAACAGCUAACUGUUUUUGUUAAAGAUUUAUAGGAAUGAGGAGGUUUGGCUAUUGUCACAUGAGAGACUGUUAGCCAAGGACAAAGAAGUUCUGCAAACCUCCCCUGGACCCUUGCUGGUGUCCAGAUGUCUGCGGUUGUCAGCCCCUUCCUUUCCCCCUGACCUAAACAUAAAAGACUAGGCAAAGCCCGCAUAAUUUUAAGACGGUUCUUUAGGACAUUAGUCCACCAUCUUCUUGGUUUGCUGGCUCUCCGAAAUAAAGUCCCUUUCCUUGCUCC